UGACAAGAAGAAAAGUAAAUUGAUAUGCCUAUUCGAAAAUGGCUGAAAAAUACUUAUCAGAAAUGAAAAAAAAGAUUAUGUAAUUGAAUGUUGUGAAGAAAAGAAGGCUGAACUUGGGAAACUUCCUAGAAAGAUUGUUAAUAUUUUCAAAGAAAUCUUUGAAAUAGAUUUCCAAAUUUAUACUAUUAGACAAAAUAUACUUGCAGUAUACCAUUUAA